rnacentral:lncRNA from 1 species
CAGGCCGUGAGGUGCCCUGCAGGACUGUGCCCUGAACCAGCUCAUAGAGGCCGCCCUCUCAGCCACACAGAUGCACAGCUGCUGUGCUGCCUUGGCUCUAGGUCUCAAUCUGAUGCACUGGGUUACAGCGGGCCGUGUGGGAGGCCUCCGGUGCCCACCUCUGAGGCCCGGCACACAGGAGCAGACUGCUGCUGGCUCUGCCCCCAGGAAAGUGACCAAGGUCUCAAGCAAAUGCUCCACUGUGAGGUCAUCUCAAGAUCUCCGACUCUGCUACCUCACUAGGAUCUCUUCUCCAAAUGAAGUCAUUUCCAGCCAUUCAGGACGCAGAGUGCACUUGAGCUAAGUGUCUGGAAGAGGGUUUAGUGAGACACAAAUAAUUCGCAGUGUCUGACUCUGGAAAUCACAUGAGCAGCUGCGGCAGAACCAGACGGGAGAAGGCAGGCGAAUUCCUCACAAAGGUCUUCGUGAUUUAUUUGACUUUUGAACAAAACCCAUUGUGUAUUCUACCAAGUCUCAUCUUUAUUUUUGUGAGUACAGCACAGACUUCACAUAAAUCACAGUGAAUCCUGGUUUGUGUGCUGAUUUUGCAGUGCCAAUAAACCUUAUAUUAACAGGAUUUUGAUGGUCCGGAGAGCUACAUUUAUUUUAUGGCUUUAAGCAAACAAAAUCCUGGAGGCAGAUACUGUGCAGACGCUUCUCUCUCUGAGCAGAGGGCUACUUCUUGCCCCUGCAUUCUUGCUCAUCCCCAGGACCCUAGUCCCAGCACCUGAACCCAGCAUGCCCUCGAAGGUUUGUUGAAUGACUAACCUGUAAGAAAUGCAUGUGAAAAGGG